UACGGAGGAUCCGAGCGUUAUCCGGAUUUAUUGGGUUUAAAGGGUGCGUAGGCGGGAUGCCAAGUCAGCGGUAAAAAUGCGGUGCUCAACGCCGUCGAGCCGUUGAAACUGGCGUUCUUGAGUGGGCGAGAAGUAUGCGGAAUGCGUGGUGUAGCGGUGAAAUGCAUAGAUAUCACGCAGAACUCCGAUUGCGAAGGCAGCAUACCGGCGCCCUACUGACGCUGAGGCACGAAAGCGUGGGUAUCGAACAGG
rnacentral:rRNA from 1 species